rnacentral:rRNA from 1 species
GACGAACGCUGGCGGCGUGCUUAACACAUGCAAGUCGAACGGAAAGGCCCUGCUUUUGUGGGGUGCUCGAGUGGCGAACGGGUGAGUAACACGUGAGUAACCUGCCCUUGACUUUGGGAUAACUUCAGGAAACUGGGGCUAAUACCGGAUAGGAGCUCCUGCUGCACGGUGGGGGUUGGAAAGAUUCGGCGGUUGGGGAUGGACUCGCGGCUUAUCAGCUUGUUGGUGGGGUAGUGGCUUACCAAGGCUGUGACGGGUAGCCGGCCUGAGAGGGUGACCGGCCACAUUGGGACUGAGAUACGGCCCAGACUCCUACGGGAGGCAGCAGUGGGGAAUAUUGCACAAUGGGCGGAAGCCUGAGGCAGCAACGCCGCGUGCGGGAUGACGGCCUUCGGGUUGUAAACCGCUUUCGCCUGUGACGAAGCGUGAGUGACGGUAAUGGGUAAAGAAGCACCGGCUAACUACGUG